GGAGGGCGCGCGGGCACCCGGGGGGCCGCCGGUUGCAGGGCGCAGCCGCUGGGUGGAGGUUUGCUCGUGUGCCGCCCUCACCCGGACCUGCAGGUCGGCAGUGUGACCUGGGGGCGGGUCCCUGAGGCCUUGUGCUCGCGGAGGGUCGCACGGGGAGGAAGGCGUUGCCUCUGGCCGGCCUGGCCCUGACCGGCCCCCUGCCCUGCAGGCCAGCGGAGCCUGCACCACCGCGGAGAUGCCCUGGAGACACUGGUCCUUCUGAACCCUUCGGACAAGUCCCUGUGUGACGAGCUCCGGAACCUUCUGCUGGUGCCUGCUCCCCACAAGCUGCUGGUGCUGGCUGGGCCCUGCUUGGAGGAGACUGGGGAGCUGCUGCUGCAGACGGGGGGGUUCUCAUCCCACCACUUCCUGCAGGUGCUGGAGGACAGGGAGAUCCAGGACCUGCUGAGGCGCACUCCGGCCCCGGCUGAGCCGCCCACGCUCACGCUCGGCUGCCCGCCCUUCGGGGACUGGACGCAGCUGGGCGCCACUGAGCCGGACCUGCUCGGGCAUCGGCUGCGGCUCAACCCUGCCGCGCGGCUGCCGGCCUCCGCCGGGCUGCAGGAGCUCCUGGACUACCUGGCCGGGUCCCUGGAGCUCCCGUCCCCCUUCGACCUGUUGGAGCCGCCGUCCUCCGGAGACUUUCUCAAGCUCGACCCGCCGUGCUGCUACAUCUUCCCCGGGGGCCUUGGGGACGCCGCCUUCUUCGCGGUCAGCGACUUCACUGUGCUGGUGAACGGAGGCUCCAACCCCAAGGCCACCUUCUGGAAACUGGUGCGCCACGUGGACCGCGUGGACGCCGUGCUGGUGACGCACGCGGGGGCCGACAGCCUCCCCGGCGUCAACAGCCUGCUGCGGCGCAAGGUGGCUGAGCGCGAGGAGGCGGCGGCCGGG
rnacentral:lncRNA from 1 species